AUUGAACGCUGGCGGCAUGCCUUACACAUGCAAGUCGAACGGCAGCGGACCUUCGGGUGCCGGCGAGUGGCGAACGGGUGAGUAAUAUAUCGGAACGUACCUUUCAGUGGGGGAUAACGUAGCGAAAGUUACGCUAAUACCGCAUAUUCUGUGAGCAGGAAAGCAGGGGAUCGCAAGACCUUGCGCUGAUUGAGCGGCCGAUAUCAGAUUAGCUAGUUGGUGAGGUAAAGGCUCACCAAGGCGACGAUCUGUAGCGGGUCUGAGAGGAUGAUCCGCCACACUGGAACUGAGACACGGUCCAGACUCCUACGGGAGGCAGCAGUGGGGAAUUUUGGACAAUGGGCGCAAGCCUGAUCCAGCCAUGCCGCGUGAGUGAAGAAGGCCUUCGGGUUGUAAAGCUCUUUCGGCCGGGAAGAAAUCGCACAGGUUAGUACCCUGUGUGGAUGACGGUACCGGAAUAAGAAGCACCGGCUAACUACGUG
rnacentral:rRNA from 1 species